CAGAGCCAAACUAUACCACAAUGUAUCUUAGACUCACUGAAUUAAAGAAAAAAAAAUAUGAAAGUGAAGCAAACUCUAUUAUAAAAAUGAAUAAGUCUUAAAAACAUGCACAAAAUACUGUAUCAAGCCUAAGAUUGAAAGGUAUUAAAUUUUCUAAAAAUGUUAUACAGAACUUAGCACAUCUACUUACACAAAAAGUGUAAGUAUAUAAAAAUUUAAUACAUCUACUUGGAUAAGAUGUUUGAAAAAAUGAAUUAUAAAUGUUAACCAACUAAUUAAAUCACAUUCCAAUAAAUUGUUCUCAGGACUUAGAUGAUAUUAGAAAUAUAAAAACUCAGACAGUAUGAUAAAGGCUAAACAAAUUACAAAUGUAAUUGAUGUUAGCUCAGUAGAAGUAUGUGGACAAUGCAGCAUCAUGGAAAAUAUUAUUGAUAUAAAUAGAAAUUCCCCCCUGAGGGCAGGAGUUCAAGACCAGUCUGGCCAACAUGGUGAAACCCCAUUUCUACUAAAAAUACAAAAAUAGGUCAGGCGUGGUGGUGCAGGCCCGUAAUCCAAGCUACUCGAGAGGCUAAGGCAGGAGAAUCACUUGAACCCAGGAGGCGGAGGUUGCAGUGAGCCGAAAUCAUGCCACGGCACUCCAGACUGGGAAACAGAGCAAGACUCUAUCAAAGGAAAGAAAGAAAGAAAGAGAGAAAGAGAGAGAGAGAAAGAGAUAAAAGAAAUUCCCUACUCCUUUAGACUAAGAAAUAUCUGCUGAUUCUCCAUUUAAUGGGACUAUGAAGAAAGACUUCAAUGUGGUUCCUUAUUUGAAUUCAGUCCAACAGAUGUGAAAUAUCUAAACACAGCCAAAACAAAUGAAAACAUCUCACAUCAACAAUCCUAAAAAAUAAAAAUUAUUUGCACAUUAUAGGAAUGAUUUGAUAAAUGACAUGUUGUUCAAUAUUCCAUUUGGUCAAUAGUUUUUUGGUAUAUCAUUACAGAAUAAAAUAGAAUAUGCAUUUUAAUUUUAUCCACAGAAUAAUAUUGUAUGCUAACAUAUAUUGCUAUACACCGUAGUGUAAAUUCAAAUUUUGUAGAUAUGUCGAAGAGUUUUCUCAGCCAAGUCACAAAUCAUGUUUCCUACACGAUCUUGUGAAGCAAUCGCUCUGUUGAAGCAAGAGGAUAAUUCUGAACUGCAUAAGAGCCUGUUAUACGCACUUCAACUAUAUCAUUUAUUACAUUGCACUGUCAUUGAUGUUUAUUAGUAUGUCCAAUGGAGUUCCUUAAAAAAUGCAGUAUAUAUUCGUAAUUUUAAUACCAUGUAAUUUUAUGUUUACUAGUAUAUAAUAAAGAUAAAAUGUGUAUAUAUGGAAUGAAAAAAAUCCCCACAAUUUCUACAUUCAGACUGUAGUGACAAAUUUGCACUUAUCUCUUUCCAGUCAGAGGUUUCUACACACAGAGAACCAAGAAAGGAGGGAGCAAUAUACAAUUAAGUAGGACAACUUAAUAUAAAUUCAACUUUACAUAAAUCCUAGGGAAAUUAUAAAAUUUGCCCUCUCAAUGAAAAUGCUGUCAUGAGAUGAAAUGCACUAUAUUUUAAAAUAUCAUAACAUUUCAAACAAACAAACAAAUGCUUCUUUUUAAAGUAAAUUGGCCAGGCGUGGUAGCUCACAUCUGUAAUCCCACCUCCUGAGUAGCUGGGACUACAGGUACCCGCCACCGUACCCGGCUAAUUUUUUGUAUUUUUAGUAGAGACAGGGUUUCACCGUGGUCUCAAUCUCCUGACCUUGUGAUCUGCUCGCCUCAGCCUCCCGAAGUGCUGGGAUUACAGGCGUGAGCCACUGUGUCCAGCCUACUUCUAGAAGUUUUACUUUUUUAGAUUCCACAUUUAAAUGAGAUCUUGCAGUAUUUGUUUUUCUGUGCUUGGCUUAUUUCACUUAGCAUAAUGCCCCCCAGAUUCAUCCAUAUUGUCACAAGUAGCAGAAUUUAUGUUUCUUUUAAGGCUGAAUAGUAUUUCACUGUGUAUAUGUACCACGUUUUUAAAACUCAUUCAUCUAUCAAUGAACACUUAGAUUGAUUCCAUAUAUUGACUGUUGUAAAUAACGCUGCAAAAGAAGACAUGCAAACGGACGACAGCAUAUGAAAACAUGCUCAGAGUCACUAAUCAUCAGGGAGAUGCAAAUUAAAACCACAGUAAGAUAUCACUUCACACUUAUAGACUGGCUGUUAUCAAAACAACAAAAACAGAGAUAAGUAUUAGUGAGGCUGUGGAGAAAAGGCAACACUUUACACAGUGUGGUUGCAGUUGUCAAGUGGGAUAACCAUUUGUAGGAGACAGUAUGAAAGCUCCUCAAAAAACUAAAAGUAGAAUUACUAUACAAUCCCAGCAAUCUUUCUUCUGGGUAUAUAUCCAAAUGAAUAGAAAUCAAUAUGUUGAAGAGAUGUCUGCACUCCCAUAUCUUUCAUCUAUUUUUGAAUAAACCAUUCACUAUCAACCAGAUGGUACAGUGGAUAACUGAUUUGGAUUUUGGGGGAGAGGAGGGAUUGAAGAUAUUUUCCUGUUUAUGUCCAACCUGGAGGUGGAUGUGUUUGGUUAAUAUUUAUCAAUGAUUUUGUUCAUGUCACUAUGAAAAGUAAAAUUAUAAAUGUAUCCCACACUAGUAAAAUGAAAUCAGCAUGACAUUGACGUGUAAAUAUCAUGGUCAACACUUCAGAAGACAAAUCAAAAUGGAGUGUUGAAUGAGAAAUUAAAAUCAGCACAUAUAUCGCAUUUUUCUCAUAUUGCUCUCAUUUGACUAAAAGUUGCAAGACAGUCACCCUUCUCUGGAAAAAAAGAAAAAAAAAAAAA
rnacentral:lncRNA from 1 species